CUAUUUUCGAAGGUUUAUUUUUAGAAAGAAAGGAAACAUAUUUUUUUUUCAAAUGCCAGAGCUGAACAAAACAGUAUGUUAAUCUAAAAUGACAGAGAGGACUCAGGUCGCGGCCGUGGAGACUAGAAGAAGGAUUCCGGAUCCGGCUAGGCGCUCGCCCUCGCUCGCCAUGGAGAAGACCAAGCUGAUCCAGAAGGCUAAACUGGCCGAGCAUGCCGAGCGCUACGACGACAUGGCCACCUGCAUGAAAGCCGUGACGGAGCAGGGCGCCAAGCUGUACAACGAGGAGCGCAACUUGCUGUCGGUGGCCUACAAGAACGUGGUCGGGGGCCGCAGGUCCGCCUAGAGGGUCAUCUCGAGCCGAUCGAGCACAAGACCGACACCUCCGACAAGAAGUUGCAGCUGAUCAAAGACUAUCAGGAGAAAGUGGAGUCAGAGCUGACGUCCAUCUGCACCACGGUCCUGGAAUUGUUGGAUAAGUAUCUAAUAGCCAAUGCAACUAAUCCAGAGAGUAAGGUCUUCUAUCUGAAAAUGAAGGGAGAUUAUUUCCGGUAUCUUGCUGAAGUAGCUUGUGGUGAUGAUCAAAAACAAACAAUAGAAAAUUCCCAAGGAGCCUACCAAGAGGCAUUUGAUAUAAGCAAGAAAGAGAAGCAACCUACGCAUCCAAUCCGCCUGGGGCUGGCUCUUAACUUUUCUGUAUUUUACUAUGAGAUCCUUAAUAAUCCAGAGCUUGCCUGCACACUGGCUAAAACGGCUUUUGAUGAGGCCAUCGCAGAGCCUGAUACACUGAACGAAGACUCCUACAAAGACAGCACCCUGAUCAUGCAGUUGCUUAGAGACAACUUAACAUUAUGGACAUCAGACAGUGCAGGAGAAGAAUGUGAUACAGCGGAGGGGGCCGAAAACUAAAGGCAUCCAGGGCACCAACCUCUUUCCCCUCAAGAACACCUUUUUACAUCUCCAUUCCUUAUUCCACUUGGAUUUCCUCUAGCAAGGAAGCCCAUUCAUGUGUAUGGGAUCAACUGUUUAUAGUCUUUUCACACUACAGCUUUUGGGAAAACUCCAUCCCUUGGUUUGUGUUGUCUCCACCUUCCUGGUGUGCAGUUACGGCUGUAGAAAAGUAUCAAUAGCUUCAUUUCAUAUAACCACGAGUAACUUCCAGACACUGGGUAGAGGACUGACAGCACAGUUGGUAUUUAAGUAAUCUGAACCAGUUCUGCGAGAGACUGUGUUUUGUAUUACUGUGAAGAUAUGGAAAUGUAGUGCAUUACAAUUUAAAGUAAUUGUAACAGUAACUUCUUGAUUUCUACAUUCCUUUUCUGAACCUUCUUGGGGGUUUCCUUUCAGAAGUGACUUUUCCAUGCUCUUAUUAUAAAUUCCUUUUUAGGAAUCCAGAAGUGUUAGAUUGAAUGGGAAAGUGCUUAAUGCAUCCAGGCUUGGGGUCACAGAUUGAAAUGUCUCCUGUGUCACAUAUUCUGGAGGUUACAUCUGUUUGUGACAACAGGGAGUUUCCUUAUGCAUUCUUCAUUUGCUGCUGUUUAAGUUGACAACUUCCUUCCCAAUAAAAAUUCACUUACA